rnacentral:lncRNA from 1 species
UGGGAACGAGUGAUCUUGCUGUAAUAAUUUAAAUUGACACGCUCGUAAAACCCAACGAUGAGGUACGUUUCGUAUAUGCAUUAGGGUGGUGAUUCCGUUUAAAUAAUAUUUGCUCAGUAAAUUAAUGAGCUUCCGGCCUUGGCUAAGUUGAUCUUUUGUGUAUGAAUAUAAGGAUUGGUAAUGUGAAGUAAGUAUGAUAUUGAGAAUUUGUGCAUAUGAGAUUAUCCGUUUAGCCAUAUGAUUGCUAUACUUUGGUUGUGUCUAAUUUCAUGGCUCAAACUUACUAAGCAUUAAAUGCUUACUCCGUUUCUUUGAUUCUCUGUUUUAUAGAUUUUGGGUUCGUCAGCUAUCGGACUCGGGAUUAUUGAAGUCGAAGUCUCCCACACUAUCAAAGCCCCUUUUUGGUACACUUUUGGUUGAACUUUGAAAUGGCAUGUAUAGGACUACCCUUUUUGUUGUUGGUCAUGGACCCUUUGGUUUUGUAUAAAUUUGGAUAGCCAUGCGAAAAUGGCUUAUAUACACUUUGAGCUUAAUAUUAUAAUCGUCUUGUACGAUGUUCAUUAAGAGGUAUGGAAAUGUUUGGGAACGAUUAGCCAUUGGAAUGGUUAAUCAUGAUCAUAUUUUGUGCUAUAUAUGCUAAAGGGCUAGUUGAAUCAUGUAAACUAUGUAAUAGGUAAAGUUUACCCUAAAGGCUGAUGCUGGCAGCAGCAGUGAUGUGGCAGCAGUAGGAAUGGAAUUAAAUAGUGAACAAAUUAUGUAAUCGAACCUUGAUGAAUCUAUUUUCAUAGGAAAGUAACAGAACGGUCAUAUGAAUAGUAUAUUAUGAGAUGUUAAAGUUUUCGUGAAACAGGGCCAGAACGGUUUCUGGAUUCCCUGUUCCGAAUUUGGAAAUUCAUUAUAAAUUAACUAGAGAUAAUUAGAAGUCAUUCCUUACAUUUAUAGAUUCCUUGUUGAGUCUAGUUUCAUUAGAAACAAACGGAAUCAGUAUUGAAGCCCUGUACAGGGAGAUAUCCGAGUCGUAAUGCGCAAAGGUCAGUGUAGUCGAACCCUGAAAUAGGGGGGACUUUAACAAAUAAACUGUACUAAUUGGCUCGACCAAAAAUUCUAGAAAAAAAUUUGUAGAUGAACAUAUGAGUCUAGUUUCAGGAAAAAUUUACGAAACUGGUUUUCGAGUUUUGAAACUCAAGAUAUGAUUUUUAAGGCGGCAGUGACGCAGUAACCAGCUUGUCUGGAAAAUUUUCAAAUGGACUGUGAAAAUAAAUGUAUUAUGUCUGUUAGCACCUCGUGUUCGACUCCGGCAAUGGUCUCGGGUACGGGGUGUUACAAUUAAAUUGGUAUCAGAGCUACGGUUUAGUCGAUUCUAGGACUACCGUACUACGUUUGGGUCUAGCUAUACAUGCCAUUAUGUGAUUAUUUGAUAGUGUGGUGAUUUCUGACUUUUGCAAAUGUGUGUAUUUAUAGUAAUGGAUCCCGAUCCCGACCGAGCGGUAGCUGAUGAUCUUGAGAGUGUAGCGCCUGCUCCCGCACAAGGGACAGCUCCGGCGGACUCUCAACCUAUUGCUAGUAAUCCGAAUGAUGAAGCUAGACAAGCUUUCUAUAGCGUGAUGAAUGAUUGGUUCAACCAAUACAUUCGAACUAAUACGGCUGUUCCACAACCUCCAUUCCCGACUAAUGCCACCCCCGCACCUACAAUACCUCUGGCAACUGACCAAAUAAGGUCAAAUAAGCCCCCAGUUGACAGAAUCCGAAAACACAGGGCUACUGAAUUUAAGGCUACGGAUAGCGAUGAUGCUGAGCAAGCUGAAUUUUGGUUGGACAACACUAUUCGGGUACUCGAUGAGCUAUCUUGCACACCCGAUAAGUGCCUAAAGUGUACUAUCUCCUUGCUACAUGAUUCUGCCUACUAUUGGUGGAAUACGUUGACUUCUGUUGUGCCCAGAGAGCAAGUAACUUGGGAGUUCUUUCAAACCGAGUUUCGAAAGAAGUAUAUCAGUCAGAGAUUCAUCGACCAAAAACGAAAGGAAUUUCUUGAACUCAAACAAGGUUCCGUGUCGGUUACCGACUAUGAACGAAAAUUUGUGAGGCUUAGCCGAUACGCGCGAGAAUGCAUUUCUUCAGAGGCCGUGAUGUGUAAACGUUUCGAGGAUGGACUGAAUGAUGAUAUAAAGCUGUGUGUUGGCAUUUUAAAAAUUCGAGAAUUUGUGGUACUCAUCGAGCGAGCUUCCAAAGCUGAGGAGCUCAGUAUGGAGAAAAGAAAAGCUGAUAUGGGAGCAAAGGAGUUUCGUAAGAGGUCUUCGGGGAGGCCCUUUCAACAGUCAUCGAAGAAAUUUAGAGAUGAUUUAGGCCGAUCUAGAAAAACUUCGGGCUUUUCUAGACGAGAUCACGAUCGACCCCCUGUGAGUGCACGAGUCACUUCGGUUAGAACUGAUCGUCGAGACAGAGCGAAGUGACAGUAUUGUGAUAAAUGGCAUUCGGGGAGUUGUAGAUUCCAUGACCGCUCCUGUUACAAGUACGGGUCAGUUGACCACUUUAUUAAAGAUUGCCCGAGGUUGUCUGAAGAAAAUGUAAAUCAGAGUGGGAAACCGGGUGCUACCACUGCUCGAGGUAGACCAUCUAGAAAUACAGGCAAUGCUAGUGGUGGUCAGAGAGGAUCUAGAGAUGCAACGACCAGAUCUGAGGCUCGUGCUCCUGCUAGAGCUUAUGCUAUACGCGUACGCGAGGAUGCUUCCUCGCCAGACGUUAGUACCGGUACUUUUACUCUCUUUGAUUCUAAUUUGAUUGCUUUGAUUGACCCCGGUUCUACUCAUUCUUAUAUAUGUGAAACCUUAGCAUCCAGUAAGACUUUACCUAUUGAGUCUACUGAGUUCGUAAUUCGGGUGUCAAAUCCCUUGGGUCGUUAUGUGCUUGUCGACAAAGUGUGUAAGAAAUGUCCCCUAGUAAUUCGAGGUUCCUAUUUUCCGGUGAACUUGAUGCUUUUUCCGUUUGAUGAAUUUGAUGUUAUCCUCAGUUUAGAUUGGUUGACCGUGCAUGAUGCGGUUGUGAAUUGCAAAAGCAAGACUAUUGAAUUGAGGUGCGCAAAUAACGAGAUAAUCCGAGUGGAGUCUACGGACUUAAAGGGGUUGCCAGCUGUAAUAUCAUCAGCGUUGGCCCAGAAAUAUGUAAGAAAGGGGUGCGAAGCAUACCUUGCGUAUGUACUUGAUGACAAAGAGUUAGAAAAGAAACCCGAAUCUGUGCCGGUGGUUUGUGAAUACCCGGAUGUUUUUCCCGAGGAAUUACCGGGUUUACCACCUGUUCGGGAGGUAGAGUUUGGUAUUGAGCUUGUACCUGGGACUACGCCGAUUUCGAUAGCUCCGUAUCGUAUGGCACCAAACGAGUUAAAAGAGUUGAAAGCUCAGUUGCAAGAAUUGAUAGAUAGAGGUUUCGCUCGACCAAGUUUCUCUCCUUGGGGUGCACCAGUAUUGUUUGUGAAAAAGAAGGACAGAACCAUGAGGUUGUGCAUCGACUAUCGUCAGCUGAAUAGAGUGACAAUAAAGAAUAAACAUCCGUUACCGCGUAUUGACGAUUUGUUUGAUCAACUAAAGGGAGCCUCGGUGUUUUCAAAGAUAGAUUUGAGAUCGGGUUAUUACCAGUUGCAAAUUCGAGAUUCAGAUAUACCCAAAACUGCUUUCAGAACGAGAUACGGUCACUACAAGUUCUUAGUGAUGCCGUUUGGGCUCACUAAUGCCCCUGCGGUAUUUAUGGAUUUGAUGAAUCAGAUCUUCAGACAGUAUUUGGACCGGUUCGUAGUUGUGUUCAUUGAUGACAUCUUGGUCUAUUCAAGAGAUGAGACCGAACAUGCUGAGCACCUGAGAUUAGUGUUGCGAAUUUUACGGGAUAAGCAGUUAUAUGCUAAGUUCAGUAAGUGUGAGUUCUGGUUAAGAGAGGUUAGCUUCUUAGGUCAUGUGGUAUCCGCAUCGGGUAUUCGAGUUGAUCCGAGCAAAAUUUCAGCCAUACUUAAUUGGAAGCCUCCGAGAAAUAUUACUGAGGUUCGGAGCUUUUUGGGACUUGUCGGUUACUACCGACGGUUUGUAAAAGGUUUCUCGAUGAUAGCCACACCGAUGACGAAACUACUUCAGAAAGAUGUUAAGUUCGAAUGGACGGAAAAAUGUCAGAAAAGUUUUGAUCAACUGAAAACUUAUUUGACUGAAGCUCCAAUUCUAGUGCAGCCCGAAUCAGGCAAGGAGUUCGUCAUUUAUAGUGAUGCAUCCCUACUUGGGUUGGGUUGCGUAUUGAUGCAAGAAGGUCGAGUUGUGGCCUAUACGUCGAGACAAAUAAAGCCAUAUGAGAAAAAUUAUCCGACCCAUGAUCUUGAACUAGCUGCCAUUGUGUUCGCCUUGAAAAUAUGGCGACAUUACUUAUUUGGUGAGAAGUGCCAUGUAUUUUCGGAUCACAAAAGUCUCAAAUAUUUGAUGACUCAAAGAGACUUAAAUCUACAACAAAGACAUUGGCUCGAGUUGUUAAAAGAUUAUGAGCUUGUCAUUGACUAUCACCCGGGAAAGGCUAAUGUGGUUGCGGAUUCCUUAAGCCAUAAAUCACUGUUUGCUUUACGAGCGAUGAAUGUACACUUGUCUGUUCUAUCCGACAAUGUGUUAGUGGCGGAAUUAAAGGCCAAACCAUUGUUGAUUCAUCAAAUUCGUGAAGCUCAGAAAGUCAAUGAUGAAUUGGUUGCAAAACGGGUUGAAUGUGUUCCGAAUAUGGAAUCAGAGUUUCAAAUUGAUGAUGACGAUUGUUUGAGGUUCAGAAGUCGGUUGUGUGUUCCAAGAAAUUCAGAACUCAUUUCGAUGAUUCUGAACGAAGCUCAUUGUAGCCGAAUGUCAAUUCACCCGGGGAGUACAAAAAUGUACAAUGAUCUGAGACGUCAGUUUUGGUGGCAUGGCAUGAAACGAGACAUUUCCAAUUUUGUCUCAAAGUGUUUAAUAUGUCAGCAAGUGAAGGCGGAACAUCAAGUGCCUACGGGUUUACUUCAGCCGAUCAUGAUACCUGAAUGGAAAUGGGAUAGAAUCACGAUGGAUUUUGUGUCUGGGUUGCCAUUGUCGACAAGUAAGAAAGAUGCGAUUUGGGUUGUUGUUGAUAAACUAGCUAAAUUGUAUGUUUCUCAGAUUGUGAGAUUACACGGGGUACCGAUUUCUAUUGUGUCGGAUAGAGAUCCGAGAUUCACCUCGCGAUUUUGGAAGAAAUUGCAAGAAGCUUUGGGUACCAAGCUGUAUUUUAGCACCGCUUUUCAUCCACAAACCGAUGGUCAAUCCGAGCGGAUAAUUCAGAUACUUGAGGAUAUGUUGAGAUGUUGCAUCCUCGAGUUUAGUGGCUCAUGGGAGCGGUAUUUACCUUUGAUUGAAUUCACUUACAACAAUAGUUUUCAAUCAAAUAUUAAGAUGGCACCUUACGAGGCUUUGUACGGGCGUAAAUGCCGUACACCAUUGUUUUGGACCGAGCUCGGUGAAAGUAAAAUUUUCGGAGUUGAUUUGAUUAAAGAUGCUGAACGGAAAGUAAAAGUAAUCCGUGAAAGUCUGAAGGCAGCCACAGAUCGCCAGAAGUCGUACGCGGAUUUGAAACGAAAAGACAUUGAGUAUCAGGUGGGAGACAAAGUGUUUCUUAAGGUUUCACCUUGGAAAAAUAUAAUCAGAUUUGGCCGUAAGGGAAAAUUGAGUCCGAGAUUCAUUGGGCCGUAUGAAAUAUCCGAACGAGUUGGUCCAGUUGCGUAUAGAUUGAUUUUGCCCCCUGAACUUGAAAAGAUUCACGACGUCUUUCAUGUUUCGAUGCUUCGACGUUAUAGAUCUAAUCCAUCGCACAUAAUUAAUCCAUCAGAGGUUGAAAUUCAACCUGAUAUGAGUUAUGAAGAAGAACCGAUUCGUAUCCUGGCUCGUGAAGUGAAAGAGUUACGAAACAAAAGGGUUCCGUUAGUGAAAGUGUUAUGGCUCAAACACGGGAUCGAAGAAGCUACUUGGGAAACCGAGAAUGCCAUGAAAGAACGAUACCCAAACCUAUUUACCGGUAAGAUUUUCGGGGACGAAAAUUUCUUAAGUGGGGGAGAGUUGUGACAGCCCUAAAUUGACCCUAGUUGGAAAGUUGUUUCGGGACCACGAAACCGAGUCUUAUGAAAAAAUUAAAGGUUAUAUUCUGUGUUUAUGAUGUGCGUAAAUGCUUGUGUGAUAGUUCCAUACUUUAAUUUGGUCAGUGUAUGUGAAAUUUAUUAGUAGGGACUUAUGUGAGACAAUUUAGAAAUAUGCUAGGCAAGUGUUAAAGAGGCCUAUUAAUAUAUGUGGGAAAGUUCUUGUCCUUGCAUGUCAAAUUAGCCAAAUUAAAGCAUAGUGGCCGGCCAUGCUAUGGGUGGAAACAUGUCACAAACAUGUUAUGUUAGUGAUGUAUGUUUGGAAAAAUAAAAUAAAGAGCAUGGUAAUAAAAUAAUGAAAGGGAAUAUGAUGAAAACAAAGAAAAAAAAAGUGUCCAUCCUUUUUCAUUUCUUUUGGCCGAAUGUUCUAAGGAAGAAGGAAGGAGCUCUUGCUUCAUGUUUGGCUUGGAAGAGGAUUAGGAGGAGGUUCGGCCAUACUUGUGUCUAGGAUAAGGUAUGUUUGAUGUUGUGCCAUGAGACUCAUGCAUGUUUUUAGUUGUUAGCUUGAGUUCUAACUAGCCCAUGGUUCAAAUCUUUGCUAUGUCAUGGAGAUGAUAUUCGGCUAAGGUGGAUUGGUGUUGAUGUCAUUUCCAUGCUAAAAGUGAAGCUUUGUAAUGAUGCAUGUGAUGGUGGAUUGAUGACUCUUGAAUCUUCUUUUUAGCAUUUUUGAGUGAGACAUUAAGUUCUUUGUUUAACCAUGACCAAAAUUGAAAUGGUACGGGGUUGUGAUGCAUUCGGCCAUGGUAGGAAGUAGAAGAGAAAUGUGGUUGUUGUUCACGUUAUUUAGAUGAGAAAUGGUAGUAAGGUGAAGUGCAAAUGUUAGUGUUUGAUUUACUAGUAUGUAUAUGUGUAUUAGCCGAGUUUUGAAUUUGAAACAAAAUGGUAUGUAGUCAAUACAAGUAACCAUAUUUGUAGGAAGUAUUAAGCAUAUACUUGGCCUCAACCUAGACAUGUAUAUUCGGCCACAUGAGAUAGGUUGGUGUUGCAUGUGUUCGGUUAGAGGCAAGCAUAUUGAUGCUUUUAUCUUGGCUUAGAUAAUCGGCUAAAAGAGAGUGUGGGCUAAAAUGUUGAGUUUGAUUCAUGAUUUCCAUAUAUAUAUGUGACUUUAAUGCCUAAUGUAUAUAUGGGCUAAGUACCUUGAGGUUCUCUUUUGAUGUUCAAAUGAAUUGUGUUAAAUUGCUUAAUGUGAUUAAAAAUGCGCAUGACCAUUGUGUAUUUGAGCUAAAAGGUGGCCAUAUGACCUAUCAAGCUUCUUGUCAUAUUCGGCCAUAAGCUAGCAUAAUGAGACUUUAAUAAGUUAAAUUUGUUUGAAUUAGCUCAAGAGCUUAGAGGACCACAGUUGGAAAAGGGAAAGGAAAAAGUUAUCGAAUAGCCGCCGAAAACGUUCGACCACAUCCGAGGUAAGUUUUCGAGCAAUGAGACUUAGUUUAUGAUUUGAUUAAGUCAUAAUGUAUGUGCAUAGAGAUCUAGUUAUAAAGAAAACUAAACCAUGCUGUUUGUAUGUGGCUAGUGAGCCAAAAUAGGAAUGCUUAAUACGUGACUUGUGUUCGAACUCUAAUUGUAAAAAUGAAAUUAGAUGUGUCAUGAUUUAUUGAUAUGUGCAUGGAUGUUCGGAUGAUAACCGGGCUAAGUCCCGAGAGCAUUUGAGCUAGUGGCUAAUUCCGGGCUAAGUCCCGAAGGCAUUUGUGCGAGCUACUAAUUCCAGGCUAAGUCCCGAAGGCAUUUGGGCGAGCAACUAAUUCCGGGCUAAGUCCCGAAGGCAUUUGUGCGAGUUAUUAUACCGGGCUAAGUCCCGAAGGCAUUUGUGCAAGUUACUAUAACCGGGCUAAGUCCCGAAAGCAUUUGAGCUAGUGGCUAUAUCCGGCUAAACUCCGAAGGUACUUGGUUUGGGAACGAGUGAUCUUGCUGUAAUAAUUUAAAUUGAUACACUCGUAAAACCCAACGAUGAGGUACGUUUCGUAUAUGCAUUAGGGUGGUGAUUCUGUUUAAAUAAUAUUCGCUCAGUAAAUUAAUGAGCUUCCGGCCUUGGCUAAGUUGAUCUUUUGUGUAUGAAUAUAAGGAUUGGUAAUGUGAAGUAAGUAUGAUAUUGAGAAUUUGUGCAUAUGAGAUUAUCCGUUUAGCCAUAUGAUUGCUAUACUUUGGUUGUGUCUAAUUUCAUGGCUCAAACUUACUAAGCAUUAAAUGCUUACUCC